UUAAGUAUUUACAUUAUAAGGAGACAACGGUCCAGCAACCCAAAGUUGACUGGGAGACGACGGCCUAGACCACUCACGAACUCAUCACAGCAUCCUUCACGCGCCUCAUCCUGCGGUACCUGGUCUUGACCUGUGGUGUAUGUGAGACAGCAAGAGUGAGCUCACAUACGUUCAUCGCUCAACAAGUUGUGGGGAAUAAUGUGCAUGAACUCGCCAAAGGUGGGAGCUCACGUGAAGUGUAAGGCUUACCAAAGAAGAUGGUUAGAGCUGAGCAUUGCUUUUAAAGUUGGUCAAAAUUUUAUUAGCAGUUACUAAGUAUAAGUAAAUACCAAACCCAAUUAAGUAGUAGAACAAAAAUAACAACUUCACCCGCGAUGCAAUGCAUAUGACAAAUUGAAUUUAGUUCCAUAAUUUAAUCAUCAGAGAGUCCUGAGCUGCUCAUGACCGUGAGCUCGGCUAGUAUACCAGUUUUACACUCUGCAGAGGUGGUACCCUUUACCCACAAGUCAUGUUACCCAUCUGCCAAGAGAUCGCGACUUCCCAUACACCUCUACCGAGGAGGCGAGGCAGGGUAACACUACGAGGCCUUUACAAAGUUCCACUAGCUUCAGAAAACCCGCUACAGUUUAUAGGAAGCUCCAAUGCAGGAAUCCCUUGCAGGACCGCCAUCGCAGCAAAAUCCUCCCGAGGGCCUCCCUACACUGACCACUCCCCUACUGCCCUUGCCCCUUUCGGGUAAGGUAGUCCUCCACUAGCUUUCCUAAUUAGUCAGCCAAGGGCGUCCCAUUAAACCCUUGUGGUGGCACGUGGUUCUCAAGUUAAGCUCUAUGUUCCAAUUAACAUUUAAUGAUCUUGUCAUGAACAUAAAUAGAAUAACAACAUAAUUGGAACAUAGAUGUAAUGAAAUAUUAACCCAAAACCAUAUAAAGCAGUAGCAGAACUACCCAAGUGAUUCAGGGGUAAACAAGGUAUUCAGGACGAACAAACUAGGGUGACCUAUUGGGUCCCAUCAAAAUUAACCUAUGUAGAUCAUUAUGAUUAAUCAGAACAUGAGUGGGUAAAAGAAGUGAUCAAGGGCACAACUUGCCUGGGACUUGAGAUUCCAGGUACCAGGAUGAUCUUCAGGUGACUCGUAAUCUCGCGCUAGUCGUAGCAACACAAACAAGCAUGGUAUAGACAAAAUUAACAUCACACCAAACAUAAGAAUAAACUGUGUAUUAAUAUCCUACGUUGUAUAACGAGAUCGUGAGUACAAGAAUUACUAAAUUCGGAGUUACGGGUACCAAGUUAUGAAUUUCUGGAAUUAUUAGGUACUUGGAAUAGCAUAACUCAUGUGGAUAAUUUUAGUUCAAGUUUCAUGGCUAAACAAUGUUAUGGUUGGUAGAAAAUACUAAUACAAAAUUAAUGUCACUGGAAUGGACCCAAAAGGGUUUAAUAUGAAUUUUCUAUGAAUUUUACAAGUUUCUAGAAUUAUUUUUGUAUUAAAAAUCAUUUUCUACAAUUAAUUUCCUAUUUUUACUGUUCUCUGGACUGGGCGUCAAAAACAGAGGAACGCAGGGGCUCUAGCGUAAGUUUUCUAAGACUAAGAGAAUAGUGCAAUUGGACGGCGGGUUAAUUCAUCGAAAUCCGAGGGGCUCGUUUAGAAAAUGACCACGGCAAAGGGGUAAGAUGGAAUCUGAGCCGCCCGAUCCAGAACCGAGGACCCAGGUUAAAAGCCCGCUACGACGAACCGGUACGUAUUGUGUGCCGUUCGAUCAGGGACCAACGCCCAGGAUUUAAAUAGCCGAGAGAGAAUCUCGUACAUCCGAUCGGAUCCAACGGUCAGACUCUGACACAUGAAGGGGGUACGCGAAGCACGAUCACAUCCAUCCAUAGCCGAAUCAACGGUCCACCCAUCGCCUCCUUCCUCCGCCAAAAACCGAGCACGGCGGCGGCGUCGGUCAGCCCGCACGGUGGCGCAUCAACGGCGCACACCCAAAUCCAAGCCUCUGAUGCACGAGUUCCUAAGGCAACGAGCUCUAUGCGUAGCAGGGACAAGAGUGAACGUUGAAGAGGGUUACUUACCCAGAUUAAUGAAGCGAAGCCGGUCGACCACAGCCGGGGCGGAUACGCGGCUCCGGCUGCCGAGCUCCACAGAUGGCAAGGCCAGGCGCGUGCGGCCAUAGAGCACGCGGGGGCACCUUGCACUUGGGUUCGAGAGAGUACACAGGGAAGGUUGGAGGCUCGCCCAUGGAGGGAGCCCCGCCCGGCCUCCAAGGAAGAGGAGCAGGGGCGAUGGUUGCCGAGCGCCAUGGAUGGGCAGAAGG
rnacentral:lncRNA from 1 species